rnacentral:rRNA from 1 species
UGCGGAGGGUGCAAGCGUUAAUCGGAAUAACUGGGCGUAAAGCGCACGCAGGCGGUUGGAUAAGCGAGAUGUGAAAGCCCCGGGCUCAACCUGGGAACUGCAUUUCGAACUGUCCGACUAGAGUCUUGUAGAGGGGGGUAGAAUUCCAGGUGUAGCGGUGAAAUGCGUAGAGAUCUGGAGGAAUACCGGUGGCGAGGGCGGCCCCCUGGACAAAGACUGACGCUCAGGUGCGAAAGCGUGGGGAGCAAACAGG